rnacentral:rRNA from 1 species
UGGGGAAUCUUGCACAAUGGGGGCAACCCUGAUGCAGCGACGCCGCGUGAGCGAUGAAGCCCUUCGGGGCGUAAAGCUCUUUCGACCGGAACGAUAAUGACGGUACCGGGAGAAGAAGCUGCGGCUAACUACGUGCCAGCAGCCGCGGUAAUACGUAGGCAGCAAGCGUUGUUCGGAGUUACUGGGCGUAAAGAGUGCGUAGGCGGUUUUCUAAGUUCGGGGUGAAAUCUCCCGGCUUAACUGGGAGGGUGCGCCGAAGACUGGGAAGCUGGAGUGUGGGAAAGGCAGGCGGAAUUCCUGGUGUAGCGGUGAAAUGCGUAGAUAUCAGGAGGAACACCGGCGGUGUAGACGGCUUGCUAGACCAUAACUGACGCUGAGGCACGAAAGCAUGGGUAGCAAACA